rnacentral:lncRNA from 1 species
ACCUCUUACUGAGGGGACCGUCUUCUCUCCGUCCUGUGUUCUCGCCUCCUUUGUCACAGAUGCCUGGGGUUAUUUCGGGGCUCUCUCUUCUGUUGCGUUGAUCUGCGUGCCUGUUCUUUGGCCAGUACCAUGCUGGGUUUUUGGUUGGGGCUAUUUUAUUUUAUUCCAAGUGAAGAGAUGCAUAUUGAGGAAAUUCCUACUACACUAGAAAGACAAGUAACGUCGCCGUGCAGUUAUUUUUUCCUAACAGCUGUGUUGCGUUUUAACGGCCACGCUAAGGACGCUGCUGUGUGAAGUGGACACUUGCUGAGUUUCGCUGUCUGCAGCCCCGCGGCUUCAUCAGCAUCCGAGGAGCGACGACUCCCCCCCUCGAGGUGUCUCCGUGCUCCCGCCGGAUCCCUCUCUCUGGUCCCUCCCUUUGCCCGCCGUCCUCUAACUCUGUUUUCUCAUUAUCAACUGGGUUGCGUCUCUUAUAAUCUCACCUGAAAGUAAAAUUUACAUUGAUUAAAUGGAGUCAUUUUUCCUGGCUUUUGGAAAUGUAUCGUGAUGAUUUUUAGAUUAUCCACGUUGCAUGUACAGAUACGUCAUUGUUUUUAUAGCAGAGUCAUGUUCCACUGUGCAGAUUUGGAAAAACGUUUGUAUUGGAGUUCCCCUCAUGGCGCAGUGGUUAUCGAAUCCAACUGGGAACCUUGAGGUUGUGGGUUCGAUCCCUGGCCUUGCCCAGUGGGUUAAGGAGCCAGUGUUGCCGUGAGCUGUGGUGUAGGUGGCAGACGCAGCUCGGAUCUGGCGUGGCUGUGGCUGUGGUGGAGGCUGGCAGCUGCAGCUCCGAUUCGCCCCCUAGCCUGGGAACCUCCAUACGCCGCAGGUGUGGCCCUAAAAAGACAAAAGAAAAACGUUUGCAUCAGUGUACCUGUUGGUGGGUAUCUGUGGUGUUUUCAGUUCCGACGGUUACAAAUGGAGACGCUGGGAAGAUUUAGGAGAAGGGGUCUCCCCUCCCUUUCUGGCCUCCCCACAGCCUGCGGAAGCUCCUGGGCCCGUGAUCACAUCGCAGCCAUCGUCGUGAGCCGAGCCGGGGCUGUGGCGGUGCUGGACCCUUAACCCGCUGCGCCAGGCUGGCUGCUGAACCUGCGCCCAGGGCUCCAGAGACGCCGAUCACGUGGUGCCACAGCGGGAACGCCUGCUUUUGUUUUUGUUUUUUCCUUUAUUUCUGCUUUUUUGGCCACACCAUGUCAUGUGGAAGUUCCUGGGCCAGGGACUGAACCUGAGCAAUGCCAGAUGCCUCACCCUGUACACCACAGCAGGAGUUCCCUGUUGCAUUUUUUUAAGUGUUACUGAAGCAGAGCUGGUUUACAAGCUGCGCGGCUGAGCACACAUCCGUGCUUUCACAGGUUGCUCCUCCGAGCAGGUUAUCAGAGAGCACUGGGUGGAGUUCCUGUGCCCGACGGCAGACCGCCCCGUGCCACACUGUGCGCAUACGGUGGCGUGUGCGCCAGUCCCAAGCCCUCCGCGAGUCCCUCCCCGAGACCCGUCCCCUUCGGUAAACACAGGUUUGUUUCCGAGGUCUGGGAGUCUGUUUCUGUUUUGUAGAUAAGUUCUUCGGUAUCACCUUCUUUGUCUUAGAGGUUCCCAGACCAGGGGUCGAAUCGGAGCUGUAGCCGCUGGCCUAGGCCACAGCCAGGCCAGACCCGAGCGGCAUAAGUGACCUACACCACGGCUCACGGCAACGCCGGAUCCUUAACCCAUGGAGUGAGUGCAGGGAUCCAACCUGCAACCUCCUGGAUACUAGUCGGGUUCGUUUCUGCUGAGCCACGACGGGAACUCCCAUGUGUGAUCUUUUUACAUUCUUUUUUUGUUUUGUUUUGUCUUUUCUAGGGCCGCACCCGCAGCAUGUGGAGGUUCCCAGGCUAGGGGUCUCUUCAGAGCUGUAGCCGCUGACCUACACCGGAGCCACAGCAAUGCAGGAUCCGAGCCGAGUCUGCAGCCUACACCACAGCUCAUGGCAACGCUGAACCCUUAACCCACUGAGCAAGGGCAGGGACCGAACCCGCAACCUCGUGGUUCUUGGUCGGAUUCGUUAACCACUGAGCCACGACGGGGACUCCUCUUUUUACAUUCUUAUUUUAAAUACGCCAUCCUGGUCUGUCCCAGGAGAUUGGAUGUCGUUCCCUCUGCUGUGCAGUAGGACCUUACUGCUUAUCUGUUGUAAAUGUAAUAGUUUACACGACUCACCCCAAACUCCCCGUCCAUCCCAUGCCCUCCGCCCUCCUCCUUGACAACCACAGGUCUCUUCUCCAUGUCUGUGAGUCUGUUUCUGUUGGUAGAUCCAUCUGUGCCAUAUGUUAGAUCCCACGUGUAAGUGGCAGCACAUAGUGUUUGUUUUUCUCUGACUCAAUUCUCUCAGUAUGAGAGUCUCUGGUUCCAUCCAUGGUGCAGCAAUUGGCAUUAUUUUGUUCUUUUUUAUGGCUGAGUCGUAUUCCAUUGUGUGUACAUACCACAUUUUCUUCAUCCAUUCAUCUGUCAAUGGACGUUUAGCUUGUUUCCGAGUCUUGGCUGUUGUGAACACAGGGCUGCAUGUUCUUUUUGAAUUGUAGUUCUGUCUGGAUAUAUGCCCAGGAGUGGGACUGCUGGGUCAUAGGGUAAUUCUAUAUUCAGUUUUCUUAGGUGCCUCCGUACUGUUCUCCAUAGUGAUUGUACCAGUUUACAGUCCCAGCAACAGUGUAGGAGGGUCCCCUUUUCUCCACGCCCUCUUGAGCAUUUUUUCUUUUUUAUCUUUUCUGGGCCAUACCUGUGGCACAUGGAAGUUCCCAGGCUAGGGUCAUUUUGGCUACAGCAGUGCCAAAUCCAGCCCGUGUCUGUGACCUACACCACAGCUCACAGCAUGCCAAAUCCAGCCCGUGUCUGUGACCUACACCACAGCUCACAGCAGUACCAGAUCCUUAGCCCACUGAGUGGGGCCAGGGAUUGAGCCUGCAUCCUCUUGGAUGCUAGUUGGGUUUGUUUCUGCUGACCCAGUGGGAAUUCUUCUUCAGUAUUUGUUACUUGCAGUUUUUUUUUUUUUUUCUGGGGCCGCUCCCUCGUCAUAUGGAGGUUCCCAGGCUAGGAGUCUAAUCAGAGCUGCAGCUGCUGCCCUAUAGCACAGCCAUAGCCACAGCAACGCCAGAUCUGAGCCGCGUGUGCAACUUACACCAUAGCUCACAGCAACGCCAGAUCCUUAACCCACUGAGCAAGGACAGGGAUCGAACCCAAAACAUCAUGGUUCCUAGUCGGAUUCGUUAACCACUGUGCCACGACGGGAACUCCUGUACACUUAUUAAUGAUGGCCACUCUGACUGGUGAGAGGUGGUAGCUCAUAGGAGUUUUGGUUGCAUUUCUCUAAUAACUAGUGAUGCUAAGCAUCUUUUCACGUGUUUUUCUGCCAUCUGUAUGUCUUCUUUGGAGAAAUGACUAUUUAGGUCUCCUGCUCGUUUUUAGAUUGGGGUUGUUUUUCUGGUGUUGUAUGAGUUGUUGGUAUAUUUUGGAGAUUAAGCCAUACAGGUUGCAUCAUUUGCAACUAUUUUCUCCCAUUCCGUGGGUUUGUUGUUGGUUUUUUGUUUGUUUUUUAUGGUUUCAUUUGCUUUGCAAAUACUUGUAAGUUUGCCUGGGCCUGUUGGUUUAUUUAUUUUUUUUAUUUCUACUGCCGUGGGAGACUGACCUAAGAAAACAUUUGCAUGGUUGAUGUCAGAGAAUGUUCCUGCCUAUGUUCUCUUCUAGGAGUUUGAUGGUGUCCUAUCUUAUAUUUAAGUCUUUCAGCCAUUUCGAGUUUAUUUCUGUGCCUGGUGUGAGGGCGUGUUCCAGUUUCACUGAUUUACAUGCAGCGUCCAGUUUUCCCAGCACCACUUGCUGAAGAGAUUGUCUUUUUCCCAUUUUAUACUCUUGCCUCCUUAGUUGAAGAUUAUUUGACCAUAAAUGUCUGGGUUUUUUUCUGGGCUCUUUAUUCUGAUCCAUUGGUCUGUAUGUCUGUGUUGGUACCAGUACCACACAGUCUUGAUGACUGCGGCUCUGUAGUAUUGUCUGAGAUCUGGGAGACUUAUGCCUCCUGCAUGGUUUUUCCCCUGAGGAUUGCUUUGGCAACUCUGGGUCUUGUGUGGCUCCAUUUAAAUUUUGGGAUUGUUCUGUGAAAAUGUCAUGGGUAAUUUGAUACAGAUCACAUUAAAUCUGUAGAUUGCUUUGAGUAGUAUGGCUUUUUUUUUUUUUUGCUUUUUAGGGCCACACCUGUAGGCAUAUGGAGGUUCCCAGGCUAGGGGUCUAAUCGGAGCUGUUGCUGCUGGCCUACACCACAGCCACAGCAACUCCAGAUCUGGGCCACAUCUGUGACCUACACCACAGCUCAUGGCCACACUGGAUCCUUAACCCACUGAUCAAGUCCAGGGAUUGAACCUGCAUCCUCAUGGAUACUAGUCAGCUUCGUUUCCACCAUGCCACAAAGGGAACUCCGGUAUGGCCAUUUUAACAAUAUAAAUUAUUCCAGUCCAGGAGCAUGGCAUAUCAUUCCAUUUCUUUGAAUCGUCUUUAAUUUCCUUGAUUAAUGUUUUAUAGUUCUCAGCAUAUAAGUCUUUCACCUCCUGGGUCAGGUUUAUUCCUAGGUGUUUUUUUUAUUUUGGUGCGAUUUUAAAGGGUGUUUUUUGUAUUUGUUUUCUAAUAUUUCAUUCUUAGUAUACAGUAAUGCAACCCGUUUCUGAAUGUUAAUCUUUAUCCUGCUACUUUGCUGAAUUCGUUGAUCAGAUCAAGUAGUUUUUGUGUGGAGUCCUUAGGGUUCUCUAAUAUAUAGUAUCAUGUUAUCUGCAUACAGUGACACUUGCACCUCUUCUCUGCCGAAUUUGGAUACCUUUUAUUUCUUUUGUUUGAUUGCUGUGCCUUGGACUUCCAUUACUGUGUUGAGUAAAAAUUGGGCAUCCUUGUCUUGUUCCAGAUUUUAGCAAGAAGGCUUUCAGCUUUUCUCUGAGUAUUAUAGUUGCUGUGGGUUUGUCAUACAUGGCUUUUAUCAUGUUGAGAUGUUUCCUCCGUGCCCAUGUUAGUAAGAGUUUUUAUCGUGAAUGGAUUUGCGGUUUUGUGUCUACUGAGAUGAUGUGGAUUUUGAGCUCUCCUUUGUCAGUGUGUACGCGUUGGUUGAUGUGCGUAUGUUGAACCAUCCUUAUGAACGUAUGAUGAGUCCCGCUUGGUCGUGGUGUAUGAUCUUUUUUAUGUGUUGUUAUAGUUGGUUGGCUAAAAUUUUGUUGAGAAUUUUUGCAUCUUAUAUUCAUAAGAUAUUGUUUUUUUGUUUUUUUGUUUUUUUUUGUUUUUGUAGUAGUAGCUUUGGUUUUGGUAGGGUCACGGUGGCUUCAUAGAAUGUCUUUGGGUGUGUUCCUUCUUCAGUCUUUUGGAAGAAUUUAAGAAGGAUGGAUGGAGUUCCCAUUGUGGCGCCGUGAAAACAAAUCCGACUAGGAACCUUGAGGUUGCAGGUUUGAUCCCUGGCCUCGCUCAGUGGGUUGAGGAUUGGCUACUGCCAUGAGCUGUGGUGUAGGUUGCACAUGCGGCUUGGAUCUGGCGUUGCUGUGACUGUGGUGUAGGCUGGCAGUUGAAGCUCCGAUUAGACGCCUAGUGUGGAAACCUCCAUAUGCCAUAGGUGUGGUCCUAAAAAG